rnacentral:rRNA from 1 species
AAUAGAUACCCAGGUAGUCCAUGCCGUAAACGUUGGGCACUAGGUGUGGGCUCAUUCCACGAGUUCCGUGCCGCAGCAAACGCAUUAAGUGCCCCGCCUGGGGAGUACGGCCGCAAGGCUAAAACUCAAAGGAAUUGACGGGGGCCCGCACAAGCGGCGGAGCAUGCGGAUUAAUUCGAUGCAACGCGAAGAACCUUACCAAGGCUUGACAUGCACGGGAAGCCACCAGAGAUGGUGGUCUCUUUGGACACUCGUGCACAGGUGGUGCAUGGUUGUCGUCAGCUCGUGUCGUGAGAUGUUGGGUUAAGUCCCGCAACGAGCGCAACCCUCGUCCCAUGUUGCCAGCGGGUUAUGCCGGGGACUCAUGGGAGACUGCCGGGGUCAACUCGGAGGAAGGUGGGGAUGACGUCAAAUCAUCAUGCCCCUUAUGUCUUGGGCUUCACGCAUGCUACAAUGGCCGGUACAAAGGGCUGCGAUACCGUAAGGUGGAGCGAAUCCCAAAAAGCCGGUCUCAGUUCGGAUUGGGGU